rfam:Lactobacillus amylolyticus DSM 11664 contig00089, whole genome shotgun sequence.
CUGUAAGAGCUAGUCAAUGUGAUUACUCCUAUUUGGAAUAUCAGAAUACUAGUGAAGA